GCAACAAACAAAUUGAGGUGCACAAGUAAGAGGAGCGAAAGAAGAAGAUGAUAUUCGGAACUUCUUUGUUUCUACUCGGUUUUGCAGAUUGGAGACUGGUAGGUUUCUGUGAUCUUGUGAUACAUUCUGUCGAGCACUAAACAGAUGAAAACCAAAAUCUAAUUAAGAGAGAUUCUUGUGCAUUCAUGGGCUGUGUCACUUUCAAUAAGGACAAAUAAUAGGCAAGCCCCGUGAUACUUUGUUCGCUCCUUUUCUUUCUGUCUAAAUUCUAAAAGAGCGCAUCCACUGAUGACAACUACACAGAAAAUUCAACUUCCGCCCUCUUCACUUUUCAGGUGACCAUACGAUACGGACCAUGAGAAGAAAGUGAGUGGCAAAGUCACGGUCCAACAUUAAUUUUCUGCAAAUGUUUGGGUAGGAAAGUAACAAUGGAAAAUUCAGAAUAGCCCGUGGUGCUUCAAUUGUAUGAGAUGUGAUGCAAUACCAAGUAACUGCAAGCUUCCAAAAUGAUUAGCUCGUCGUGUUUUUUGCCUUCAGAACUACUAAAAUAUGGCUCCUGAAAGGUAACUAAC
rnacentral:lncRNA from 1 species